UACGAAGGGGGCUAGCGUUGUUCGGAAUUACUGGGCGUAAAGCGCACGUAGGCGGUUUUUCAAGUCGGGGGUGAAAUCCCAGGGCUCAACCCUGGAACUGCCUUCGAUACUGGAUGACUAGAGUCCGUGAGAGGUUGGUGGAAUGCCGAGUGUAGAGGUGAAAUUCGUAGAUAUUCGGCGGAACACCAGUGGCGAAGGCGGCCAACUGGCACGGUACUGACGCUGAGGUGCGAAAGCGUGGGGAGCAAACAGG
rnacentral:rRNA from 1 species